CCCGGAGCGCAUCGCGAAAUUCGGCCUCUUGGCACUCUGGGGCGGGAAAGCGCCGCUGGGGAGAGAGACCUGCCCAUCCAGGACUGGCUUCGUUGCAAGAAACAACCAAAAAGACAAAAUAAAGGCUGAAGAGAACAAGGAAGGAAAGAAAAGAGAAAGGGGAGGAAGAAAACCAACUGGAGAUGAGAGAGAAGGGGAAAAGAUAACAGCCCUCAACUCCAGCCAACUCCUGCUCAAACUGGAGCAAGGAAAACCCCGCAGGAAUCAGAGAACAAAGGACGAAACGUCAAACACGCUGCAGAAGUCCCACUCCUGCCCAUUUAAGCAGAGGGAACUCUGGCCAACAGAUCUCCUCCAGUGUCCCCAAGGAAAAGCAGUGGCAACAACCCAAUGCUUAAUUUGUAGACACCCCCAUUAGCCAGCAUGGACAGCGAACUGGUGGCAACCCGCGGAAGAUUUCACCACUGCCGAGGACACUGCAACCAUUAUAAAUAUGAACCGGUUGCCAAGCAUCUGAAUUUUGAUUAUGUGACCAUGGGGAUGCUGCAAUGGUCAUGUGCAAAACAGUUUUAAGUCACUUUUUUUCAGUCAGGUUGUAACUUUGAAUGGUCAAUCAAUGAACUAUUGUAAAUCAAGGACUGCCUGUACUAUACUAUAUAGAUGACUAUACUCUUCCAGUAUAGUCAUCUAUAUAAAAUACUUUAUCAUUUCUGGCUGCCAGGUGAAUGUUUAAACAUAAGGUUGCAUGACUUAUUAUAUCAUACAGGCAUUUAGAAUGUUUGACCUCAAGGUGCAUGUUUAUUUUAUGAAGUAAGCCUCAUUACCUGUUUCUAAUCAGUGGAAAAAUCCGAAAACUUAGAUAAUUGAUCUAAAAUUGACCAAUCCAUGGAAUUCCCUGCUUUCCUUCUACAUGUCAUUAUCCUGCUAACUCAUGGGUGUCAAACUCGAUCGUGUCACGUGACAUAUCACAAUGUUUUUUGCCUUUGUGGAACCGGAGUGGGCGUGGUCUGCACGUGACACAUCCAGCCCGUGGGCUGCCAGUUUGACACCCCUAUACUAACUGAAUAUCAGCACAGUUUUGCUACACUUUCCCAUAAUGCACCAUUCUUACCUUACAUGAACUCAAGAUGUCUGCUACCAAUGCAUAUGUUCUACAUGUAACAAAUUACAAACCAAAUGAGAAAGGAAUAUUUAGCUCUUUCCAAAGAAAUUCAGUUGAAAAUGGCCAGAAGAUAAAGAAGAAAGUAGCUUGAUGCAUGGGGGAGGGGGGGUUGUUUUUUCUCCCAUAUGCCAAUCGAUCAAUUUGUUGUUUGUCAAUAAAACAUCCAAGUAAAAUGAUUGAGCAGGGAGGACGAAGAGUGGAUAGCAUUUUAGAGCUUAGAUAGAUAUUUUACCUCUGGUCUUUGAAAGGAGGUUAUUAGAAAAGAAGGGAAAAUUAAAUUAGGACCCAAAAUUUACAGUGGCACUAGAAUAGUUAGAUGAAUUAAUGAAUCAACAAAUCAAUAAAUUAGUUCUGUGGAAAAUGAAGUGAUAUGAUGAGAACUUGAAAUAGUAUGCCAAAAGGUAGACGAUUAGACAAAAACAUCCACCUCACUCUAAUACAUAAGGAGGAAGAAGGGCCACAUUAUUGAAGAAAAUAAUAACUUUUACAGGAACAGAAAAAAUAAACAGAAAAGCUUAAUUACAGGUAAUGCUUUUCUUGGUUACUCUUGUGGAGAUAGUAUGCUAAUUGGGGUUCUAAUACCACAAAAUCAUAGUGAUAUGGAAAGGUCUAUGUUUAAUAUGAUCAUAUUUGGAUUUCACGUAAGUACGAUCAGAUAAAUUUAAGAUGUUAAUGGUACAAACACUGUAAAAAUCAAUUAAAAAUAUUUACUUAUUUUGCAAA